rnacentral:rRNA from 1 species
GAUGAACGCUGACAGAAUGCUUAACACAUGCAAGUCAACUGUGGCGGACGGGUGAGUAACGCGUACAGAACUUGCCUCCCGGAUAGGGACACCCUUUUGAAACGAAUGCUCCUACCUGAUACUGUGAGAGAGCUUUGCGUCCCAUUAGCUAGUUGGAGAGGUACCGGCUCACCAAGGCGAUGAUGGGUAGCCGGCCUGAGAGGGUGAGCGGCCACAAGGGGACUGAGACACAGGCCUUACAGCUACGGGGGGCAGCAGUGGGUGAGAUUGGGCAAUGUGCCAAAGUCUGAUCGGGGAAUGCUGUGUGCACGAUGAAGUUUUCGGAAUGUAAAGAGCUUUGAGUUGGGAAGCGGUAGCAACAGAAGAAGUGACGGCUAAAUACGUGCCAGCAGCCGCGGUAAUAC